rnacentral:rRNA from 1 species
CCCGCUGAACUUAAGCAUAUCAAUAAGCGGAGGAAAAGAAACUAACAAGGAUUCCCCUAGUAACUGCGAGUGAAGCGGGAAAAGCUCAAAUUUGAAAUUUGGUGGUCUUUGGUCAUCCGAGUUGUAAUUUAGAGAAGCGUCUUCCGCGCUGGACCGUGCACAAGUCUCCUGGAACGGAGCGUCGUAGAGGGUGAGAAUCCCGUCUUUGGCACGGACACACCAGGGCUUUUGCGAUGCGCUCUCGAAGAGUCGAGUUGUUUGGGAAUGCAGCUCAAAAUGGGUGGUGAACUCCAUCUAAAGCUAAAUAUUGGCGAGAGACCGAUAGCGAACAAGUACCGUGAGGGAAAGAUGAAAAGCACUUUGGAAAGAGAGUGAAACAGUACGUGAAAUUGCUGAAAGGGAAACGCUUGAAGUCAGUCGCGUUGGCCGGGGAUCAGCCUCGCUUUUGCGUGGUGUACUUUCUGGUUGACGGGUCAGCAUCAAUUUUGACCGCUGGAAAAAGGCUUGGGGAAUGUGGCAGCUUCGGCUGUGUUAUAGCCCCUUGUCACAUACAGCGGUUGGAUUGAGGAACUCAGCACGCCGCAAGGCCGGGUUUCGACCACGUUCGUGCUUAGGAUGCUGGCAUAAUGGCUUUAAGCGACCCGUCUUGAAACACGG